rnacentral:rRNA from 1 species
GCCUACGGGUGGCUGCAGUAAGGAAUAUUGCGCAAUGGGCGACAGCCUGACGCAGCGACGCCGCGUGGGGGAUGAAGGUCUUCGGAUUGUAAACCCCUUUCGGCAGGGAAGAUGGAACGGGUAACCGUUCGGACGGUACCUGCAGAAGCAGCCACGGCUAACUUCGUGCCAGCAGCCGCGGUAAUACGAAGGUGGCAAGCGUUGUUCGGAUUUACUGGGCGUACAGGGAGCGUAGGCGGUUGGGUAAGCCCUCCGGGAAAUCUCCGGGCCUAACCCGGAAAGUGCGGAGGGGACUGCUCGGCUAGAGGAUGGGAGAGGAGCGCGGAAUUCCCGGUGUAGCGGUGAAAUGCGUAGAGAUCGGGAGGAAGGCCGGUGGCGAAGGCGGCGCUCUGGAACAUUUCUGACGCUGAGGCUCGAAAGCGUGGGGAGCAAACAGGAUUAGAUACCCCUGUAGUC